CAGUUCUAUAGAACCAGUAGCUCUGAAGAGCAGCUGACACCGAACCGGUUGGCUGCGACGACCGUCUGGUCAUCUGUUUGGCUCACCCGCCCGCCCGGGCUCUAUGCUGUCCUUUAUCCAAUGCUUUUACCUCCUCAGCUGUUUUGCACAGCACUGCUGAGUGCCGCUUGUCAGCUGGAGAAGGUAAAUGCUCGAAGGAGCCAGUAGUACACACACGCAUUGCAGCACACACUUGGCACACAUGCGGACGCUCCCCAAACCGGUUGUCAUGCUGGUAGGAUCCUGCCCCUGGUUACUCCCCAGUAGUAACAUAGCAGAUGUUUAUUGUGGACCAACUGAAAUUAUGGAUUGGAUUGAGACAGACCUAUCUCUUCUUGAAAGUCUGAAGUGAUGAAGCUACCACAACUUCCAAAGGCAACUUCUUUUCCAUUGGUUGACUGUUCUAGUAUUUUACCUGAUCAUUCUCAUAUUCUCCCCUCCAUUGUCUUUCUUGAUAUGUGUUGGAUCUGAGGAUUUAGAAAGCUGUUGCUUCUCAGAUUCAAGUUUUUGUCUCUCCCUACAAUUCUAUGAAUUGAGUAAAAAGUUAACCAAGGUGUAGUCAUUUGUAUUACAGUCCCAGGCCA
rnacentral:lncRNA from 1 species